rnacentral:tRNA from 1 species
ACGCUGGUAGCUUAAUUGGCAGAGCAGCGGUCUCCAAAACCGCAGGUUGGGGGUUCGAUUCCCUCCCAGCGUGC